UUGAAAUCCUCCUGCCUCCAGCUCUCAGAGUGCUGGAAUUACAGGCAUGCACCUCCAUGCCUUGCUCAUUUAGCAAUUCCUUGGCAACACCAAUGAGCUCUUUGGUGCUAACCACUAGACAGUGCAUGACCACGAAGCAAAGAAUCGAAUGAAGGCACCCAGGCUGGAGAACGGGGUGCACCUCACCUUUCAGGGCGCAGACUCUGUGUGACCGUGAGUUUAUCAUUCUACCAGGGAUCCAUAAAGUGGGGACAGCUGAGAGUCUAAGCGGGUGUCCCCAGUUCCCACUACACACCCCGGGAGCCUUGCAUCCUUGCUGCUACCUGCAGCGAGAGGAACUUUCAAUCCCACUCAACGCUGAGGACCCAUGUGGCUUUCGAGCGUGGCCUGCCCUCCACAUGCAGCUGGUGGAGAGGGGGCACCGCACACCUGGAAAUGCAUUUUCCUCUAGUUUGGCCUUGAGGUCUUUCUCUGGACAGUGUCGAAAAGGCAAGUGACCACUUCCAAGGAUGGACCAGAGGGUAGAGAGGUGGGCUGGUGGUGGUCGGGGGAACACAGUGUCACUGGAUUCCAAAAGACAGGAGAGACCAGUGGGAAUCGGGAGGAUUUAUUUCAGGUUUUAGGGUCAACGCAGGCACAACAGACUCCUGUCCAAAGGAAGAGUGUUGGACAAAGAAAAGUUCCUGCUUUUAUACAUUUGAUCGAAGAUGGGUAGUCUUUCUGUUGACACAGCAAAUGAGUUUACCAGAACAGGUUGAGGGCAGUCAGUUUUGUAACUUAGCCUUGAAAGAAGACAGUGUCUUAUGAAUCAUAUGAGAACAGGGUGUCAUAAACUUUGCUUACAGGACAUAGUUGUCAAUUUUAUCUCCUUGUACCAGAACAAGGAGUUACAGCUACAAGGGAGAGGGUGUGACCCAAGGGCUGGGGCUGCCCAAGGCUGGGAAGAAGUUGUUUCUCUGUAAGUCCUGCUUCAGCAUGAGGCAACUCACCAAAGCUGAGAGAGGAAGGGACCCUCCAGGGCCCCCAGGAAGUCCAGAGAUAGCAGGAGCUCCACCAGUGGAAGAGGGAAGGGAGAGGAGAGAGGGACUUGUGGAGCAGAACCUUCUCUGGGUUCAGAACAUUCCCCAGGGGGGGAUUCCCAUAGGGACUCUGAUUGGUGGGUUUAGGGCACCAAUCAGGCAUGAGCUAGGUGGACUAACACCAUUGCUAUCGGAGGUGGGCGUGGCAGAGCUGGCUGGAAGAAGAAGGCAGGAUCUGCCAAUGACAAGGUCCCAGGACAGUGCCAAAUAAUUCCCAGGGCCCCGUAUGUAGAACUUCUUGAAGGCUCCCUUCAGAUGUGGACAACGUAAAGAGACAAGACGACACGAGGAUCCACUACUGUGAUUCUUCAUGGUAGACCACCCUGUGUCUCCUGCACUUUUAUUUUUGCUUUUAUCCUUUCUUUCAUUUUUCCCUUACCCCUUCAACCCUCACCUUUGAAAUAUACUUUUCUUUGUUCCAGACAAAAGGACCUGGGAUAGUUCUGUUUGGCAAGCCGUUUUUAAAGGGACUACCCGACAGCACUGUGACUGGUUGGUCUGUGUGUCCUGCAAGCAUGGCCGGUGCCCACACAGCCCAGUGCCAACUCAGAUUCCUCAUGCCCAGAGAGGAAGCUGGACUUUCCCGAGCGCCUCCUGCUGGCCUUUCCAUCACAACCCGAGGCCAAAGCACUGGGACAAAAACACCUGUGUGCUCUCAACUGAAGAGGGGAGCACAGAGAUUCUAAGGACAGGGACAUGAGUCCCGGUCCUGUCUGAGGGAGCCUCUGUCCCCCGGUGGAAAGGAAAAUGGGCAGCUGCAGGAGCAUGCUGUGCCAGUAGGAAUGCGGUACCCUGAGGCCCUCAAGUCCUUCCAGGGGUUCACCGGCCACACGGCUGCUCUGGGGAACACCAACCAUCCACCACAGGAAGAAACCACACAGGAACAUCCGCUUCUGCGCAGGGACAGAGCCCUGGAGGCCCACCUUCUUGAAGUCCCACUCCCAAUGCCGCCACCCUGGGCUUUCAGCCUCAACAGUGAGAGUUACACGAAUUUAAGCCAGACCAGACCAGGCUGCCGGGGACUGCGGGAUGGAGGAUCUGAGCUGACAUGACAUCAAGGGCUGGAAAGGCUGUCGCUUCUCUGUGCCACCCCAAGGACCUCAGUGGGGCAGGAGCGGGCUGAGCCGAGAGAGUCUGGACCGCAUUCGAUGCCACUCUGCCGCCCUGCGCCUUUGGGUCCAUGUCCGCUCUGAUGAGCCAGUGAGGGACAAGCCACACAGCCCUGUGCAGCCGGGCGGCAUGGGCAGUCAAGCCAUCUGCAUCUCAAGGGUGCUGCAAAGAACAGAGCACCGGCAAAAUCAUCCCCACGGAGCGGAGCCAGGAUGGCCCGCCAGCGGGAGCAGGCCUGGAAACCGACCCACACAGCUGCUGCCACACAGCCGUCAGGCCUGCCUCCAAGUUCUGCUUUGGGUUAUUUAUAUUUUCUCCUGCCUCCUAUUGUAAAGCCCGCCCGGGGGAAAUGCUGGAGCACAGGGCGCUGCUGUCUUCCAGUCCUAAAGAGCAGCUCCAGGCACCGGCUAUUGCAGCUGCCAAGGAAAUGAUCUCAACACAGCACAUUCCCUUCCCAGGAGGCACAGAUCUCAGUGUCCACCAUGAAGGUCCCCGCAGGGUCCCGGGCUCCUGCUGAGACAGCACCGCUGCCGCCAGGCGUUGGCUGGGUGAGGGCUGAGGAGGGGAUGGCGACAGCUCCCUUUGACCUGGACCAAAGGCCGCAGAGACCAACCUGCUGCUCACCGUGGCUUUGCAAGGCCAGGAGGAGACUCACACUGAGGGCGGCCUGGACCACCUGCUCCUUGCCAGUGCCUGUCUGACUGCUGGCACCCGGGCUGUGUGCCUUCGACUGUCACCGUGGGCCCCUGCUGUUCCCCGCCCCGUCCCUUCUCCACAGUCUGUCACCUGUAGGGGACUUGCAAGAGGUGCCGUGUUCCCCGCUGGGACACCACCAUGAGACCCGCCCUUGUUCCUCACCAUGCCGACGCCGGGCCACCCGCACACAGUCUCAGCUGCACUGGGGGACCAGGAAUUGGGGGUUUGAGAGCUCCUCUGGUGAGUCCCACGUCCAGCCAGGCUGGGAACUCCUCCUGCCCUAAGAUGUCUGCCCGCCCAGCUGGCCGGAGCCCACUCCCCUCAUCCUGCCCUUCACUUCUGCCUCCAUUGGCACAGAACAGCUGAGGACAAGGUGGCCCUAAGCAGGUCCUGAGACCACAGGCCAAACCCACAGAAGGAGGCCAACUGUCCCAUGCCCCUGUCUGCCUGCACGGAGGACAGACGAGGGCACGGAGAGAAGGCACAGAUGGACGCACAGGGCACCACGCUCCAGCGGGCCAGGGCGUCUGGGCCGAGCCAGUCAUCCUGAGGUCCGGGAGUUUCUGAGAGAAAAUAAGGUUUUGCCUGUCCCCUCAGCUUCCAUUUCACAUAGCGGGAGCCAAGCCUGGGCAAGCAGACCAGAAGGAAUUUCUCAGUGUGGACCAGGAAAGGAAAGGACAGAAGCCAGAAAAGCAAAGCGAACUCUCUCCCACUAUGCUCUGAGCACUCAGGUCUCACGGCCAUAGUGCUGCCUCUGUUUAAUGCAGGGAAAUAGCUGCAGCCACUCUGCCCACCUCAGCUUCCCUCUGCACCCCAUUUCCAUUUCUGUCCCCACUGCCAUCUUCCUGUCCUUUCUGCCCUGAACAGGCAGGAGCUCUGCACCUGCCUGGCUCCCAGAACAGCCCGGUAACAGCAACCCAGAGAAAAGCAAAUAAGACUUUGCAAAACCAGAGCUGUUGUCAUUUAUCUUUUCACGAGUCCCCCAGCUUCACAUCAACCACCAGAUCGUCCUCCUGAAGCUCCAAGAGGGCUCGGGCUCAGGAAGCUGCGUCAGACCUCGGGGAAGUCUGCGGGGGAGUGGAGCCCUGUGGGUUGGGCAGGCUCAGUGGGGCCUGGCUGAGCCAGCGGCCAGGACAGAGCCCCCGCCACCGAAUGGGUGGGCAGCAAUUCCUUUGCCUCUGAGGACCCCGAAACAUGGUGAGGCUGGUGGAGUUGGGGCCCAGAGACCCUCACACGCACCACAGCCAAAUGACACCGCAGAAGUGGCAGCCAAUCAGAUGCAAAACCUCCGCCCCCCCAACCUGCAUCCAUCACAGAAGGGACGCCCCUGGGUGGCACCCCACCACCUGGGCCUCAGCAGCCUGCAGGUGUGGCACCGGGGACGGGAAGGGGCAGACACUGGAUUCUCCUUCUGCAGGGGGCCCCCUGGACUUGGAGGGGG